UGAGCAGGGUCUCUAGAUUAUGCGUA
rnacentral:piRNA from 1 species